UGGGGAAUAUUACACAAUGGAGGGAACUCUGAUGCAGCGACGCCGCGUGAGUGAUGAAGGAAUUCGUUUCGUAAAACUCUGUUCUAUGGGAAGAAAAGGACUGUACCAUAGGAGAAAGCUCCGGCUAAAUACGUGCCAGCAGCCGCGGUAAUACGUAUGGAGCGAGCGUUGUCCGGAAUUAUUGGGCGUAAAGGGUGCGCAGGCGGCUUUACAAGUUGGAUGUGAAAUAUUGUGGCUCAACCACAAACGUGCAUCCAAAACUGCAAAGCUUGAGUUAAGGAGAGGUAAGUGGAAUUCCUGGUGUAGCGGUGGAAUGCGUAGAUAUCAGGAGGAAUACCGGUGGCGAAGGCGACUUACUGGACUUAAACUGACGCUCAGGCACGAAAGCGUGGGGAGCAAACAGG
rnacentral:rRNA from 1 species